CGAAAGCCUGACGGAGCAAGACCGCGUGAGGGAGGAAGGCUCUUGGGUUGUAAACCUCUUUUCUCAGGGAAGAAGCACUGACGGUACCUGAGGAAUCAGCAUCGGCUAACUCCGUGCCAGCAGCCGCGGUAAUACGGAGGAUGCAAGCGUUAUCCGGAUUUAUUGGGCGUAAAGCGUCCGCAGGUGGUAGUUCAAGUCGAUUGUCAAAGGCAGUAGCUUUAAACUUACCUUGGAGGAACGGCCAAGUUGGGAAAAACCUCGAAAAGAACCCUAAUGAACGUUGCCGGGUUAAGGGGGGUUCAGCAGCGGAAUUCCCGGCUGUCAGCGGUGAAAUGCGUAGCAGAUCGGGACAGAACACCAGUGCCGAAAGCGCUCUGCUGGACCGGCACUCACACUGAGGGCCGAAAGCUAGGGGAGCAC
rnacentral:rRNA from 1 species